rnacentral:rRNA from 1 species
AGUGCGAGGGCAUACAGUCCUCGCUUUUCUGUACCGUAAGGUGGUACAGGAACAAGUGCUGGGCAAGACCGGUGCCAGCCGCCGCGGUAAUACCGGCAGCACGAGUGAUGGCCGCUCUUAUUGGGCCUAAAGCGUCCGUAGCCGGCCGAGCAAGUUCGUCGGGAAAUCUGCCCGCUUAACGGGCAGGCGUCCGGCGAAAACUGUUCGGCUUGGGGCCGGGAGAUCCGAGGGGUACGUCCGGGGUAGGAGUGAAAUCCCGUAAUCCUGGACGGACCGCCGGUGGCGAAAGCGCCUCGGGAAAACGGACCCGACGGUGAGGGACGAAAGCUAGGGUCUCGAACCGGAUUAGAUACCCGGGUAGUCCUAGCCGUAAACGAUGCUCGCUAGGUGUGGCGCAGGCUACGAGCCUGCGCUGUGCCGUAGGGAAGCCGAGAAGCGAGCCGCCUGGGAAGUACGUCCGCAAGGAUGAAACUUAAAGGAAUUGGCGGGGGAGCACUACAACCGGAGGAGCCUGCGGUUUAAUUGGACUCAACGCCGGACAUCUCACCAGCAUCGACAGUAGCAGUGACGGUCAGGUUGAUGACCUUACCUGAGCUACUGAGAGGAGGUGCAUGGCCGCCGUCAGCUCGUACCGUGAGGCGUCCUGUUAAGUCAGGCAACGAGCGAGACCCGCAUCUCUAGUUGCCAGCAGCACGCUUGUCGUGGCUGGGUACACUAGGGAGACUGCCGCUGCCAAAGCGGAGGAAGGAACGGGCAACGGUAGGUCAGUAUGCCCCGAAUGUGCUGGGCAACACGCGGGCUACAAUGGCCGGGACAAUGGGAAACUACCCCG